UGUUCAGUAAUGCAUUUCAUCCUGAAAUCAUUGAGUUCCAUGCAGCCAGUUGCGGAUUACGAACUUCAGAUGGUGAUGGCCAUGAGUCAAGUGAUCCAAUCAGUACCUUUCAAAGUUCUGAGGACAUUUUAAAUUGGAUCGGUUAUCAAGUUGAUGAG